GUGACCGGCUCUGCACUGGUCCUGGGGAGGACCUGCAGCUCCCAUGGGUAUUCAGAGCCCACCAAGAGCAGAGGAGAAAGCAGAGCAAGAGGACAGGUCGCUGCACUCGACCACAGUGACACAGCCCAGCACUGUUGACCUACUCGAGUUUGGGGAGGACAUGUGGCAUUUCUUGUGAACUAAAAUGCAAACGUGGGGCCCCUUGCCAGGUUUGUGUCCUCGUUGGCUCUUACUCCUGACGGCGCACCCGCUGGUGCCAAGCAGGCGGGCUCCAGGGAUACAGCAGCACACAGGCCGUAAUCCCUGCCCUGAGGGACCCUGGGGUCCAGUCGGGAAGAGAGAGAAUAGGUGCCCACAUUGGAGGGAGGGUGAAUGACUCCAGCCCUCAGCCAGAUGCUGUGCGGGAGCAGGAAGGAAGCCCACCUGGCCCUGAAGGCGCUGCGGUCAGGCAAAGGCUUCCAGAAGAAGCAGCCUCUAAAUGAGAGUAAAGUGAACGUCAGAGCUGACCAGGCAAGGAGGGCCUUCCGGACUGAGAACCACCGUGCCAAGGGUCAGAGCUGAGGGGACCGUGCGACGUGCAGGUGGUUCUGGGCGCCGCCUUG
rnacentral:lncRNA from 1 species